CACACUUCUAGUCUCCUUUCUUAGUCUCGGUUCAUGAUGGCAAGAGUAACAGCUGCAUUCUGGAUUCUUUGUUAUUCUUGUCUGGUGAACCUGUUAUUCACAGUGAUCUAUUACUGUCUACAUGUUGAAGAGCCAAACGGAGUCAGAGCUCCAACCAUGGAAACAUCCCAGGUUGACAUCAUCUCCACUCCAGAUCCAGGAGGAGACCGGAUCUGGAUCUGUCGCUCCGGACCAGGUCUCUGGAUCCGGCUUGGAUUUCUUGCUUUUUUGAUCCUCUGUACUGUUUGUGUUGGUGUCUGUCAGAGGAAACAACCAGAAGGUCAGGAACCUCUGUACGCCUUUAACAGACCCUGAACCCACACAGCCUCUGGUGGCUGGAAGUGUUCAUCAGUGGAUCCAUCAGUGUGAAUGAGACUGAGACUGGAAAACACUGGAGGACAAAGUCAAACAGGAAAUGGAUUUACUUGAACAACACUUUUAACUCAAAGGACCAAAGUAUUUUGGUUCCAAACAGAUGAAAUACUAUUUCUACUGUGAUCUAUUUUCCUAGUGCAAUAGUUUGAUUAAAUCACUUUUUUGAGUUAAAAUUAAAAUCUGUCGACAUCUUUGUGACCUGCUCUUUGUGAAUGAAAUCAGAUUAAAUCAAUCUUGUAAAUGUUUGCGUGUUUGUUUGUGUUGAGUUGACGUUCUAGUUGGUGAUGACACAGUUGUUCAGGAGAACAUGGAGAAUUGAGCCUUCAUGUCCUAAACGUUGCUGAUGGAAAUCCUAGACUUUCAUUCUCUGUUCUCUCCUAUUGUUUUCAUGCCAUCAUGUUCUUUCUGUCACCAAUCAAUCCAUCCCAUAAUAU